rnacentral:rRNA from 1 species
CCUACGGGUGGCAGCAGUGGGGAAUAUUGGACAAUGGGGGGAACCCUGAUCCAGCGACGCCGCGUGAGUGCAGAAGUAUUUCGGUAUGUACAGCUCUAUCAGCCGGGAAGAAAGAAAUGACGGUACCUGACUAAGAAGCCCCGGCUAACUACUUGCCAGCAGCCGCGGUAAUACGUAGGGGGCAAGCGUUAUCCGGAUUUACUGGGGGUAAAGGGAGCGUAGACGGUUACGCAAGUCUGUAGUGAAAGGUGGGGGCCCAACCCCCGGACUGCUUUGGAAACUGGAUAACUUGAGUGCAGGAGAGGUAAGUGGAAGUCCUAGUGUAGCGGUGAAAUGCGUAGAUAUUAGGAGGAACACCAGUGGCGAAGGCGGCUUACUGGACUGUAACUGACGUUGAGGCUCGAAAGCGUGGGGAGCAAACAGGAUUAGAUACCCUUGUAGUC